CGCCGGGAGGGGUGCUCGGGCAACUUUUUGGUUGGCUGCCGCCUGGGUGCUGGCUGCCCAGGUCGCUUUUAAACUUGGAACCCCCGGCGUCCUCCCUUUUCCGCUGCGGCGCCCGACUCGGUUUUUGUUAAGUUCAAGUUGCUGAGAAACUUGAAGGGCUGCUGCUUGAAAGAAUCAAGGGAAGCUUUUCAAAUGGGUAAGAUGUAUUUGAUGUGAGAUUGAUACAUACAGAGUAGUUUUGCUUUGUCCCUCAUGGUGGCAGGGGUGAGUUUUGAGAAGGUGCAAAAUAUCUAGUAACAGAUGCCCUAUCUUUAGCAUAACAAUUUCCAUUAUUUAAAGUAAUUCUUUUAUCAACCAGUGUCAAUUUGAAACUUGAACAGUAUUGACUAUAAUCUUGGUUCACAUAUUCCAUGAGAUAUGGCUAACAUUAGUGUUUAAGUAGGUUAGUUUUGUUUAUAAUCCCCUUGUUUAAAAUCCCGUACUUUUGGUUAUUGUAAAGAUUAUGCUUUUACAGGGUACCCUUAAACGAUGAGGUAUAUAUAUCUCUGCACUAAGCAAAAUAUCUACAUGUUUACAAUAAAACACGAAGCUACCUUUGCUUUGUUGAUAUGCUAAAGAACACUUUAAUAAUAAAAGUUUAAUAAAAAUUUUUUUUUCAAA